UAAAUCUAACUCUUUUCUACCACACUUCCACGUAUCAAAUUAACUCCUUUAAAAUCUCAGAUACAUAUCUCUUGUUUCUCCAACAUCCAUUAAACAUAAAAUGAAUAAGUUAGAAACAAAACCAUAAACACAAACACACUCCUUCAUUUUCUCCUUUCAUGUGUUUUUCUACUCCACCACUAUUAAAGAGAAAAAGAGUUUGAAGUCAUUUUCUUUCUAAAUAUUCUACAUUUUUUUUAUUGUUUGAAGACUUUAGAAGAAGAAAUAUUGCUAUAAUAUGUAUGGUGUUUUGAGACAUUCCAUAAAAAGAUGAUUCUUCGCAAGAAAUAUCUAUCAAUAUAAUAAAAAGCGGAUGUCGAAUUUAUUUUUACAAGAUAUUUACAAUAAUCUUAUUAAAACGGUUAAAUAUAAAUACUAUAAAGUAUUCGUUCUCUAUCAAGAGUGAAGAAUGUUCAAGAGCUACGAUAAUGAAACAUCCCAUUGACAGGUAAAAUUGCCAUGUAAGUGGAAAAAAAAUUCAAUAUUUCAAAGUCAAUCGCUUUUGACAUGGUGAAAAAAAAAAUGAAGUGUACUAAAAUUUUGAGUGGAAAAAGAGGCAGUGACGCAUUGGUGGGACAGGAGUAAAUCAUUCAUUCUCAACAUUGGUAUUAUUCAGGUUAUCUUUGAUUACGUUUUUCUAAUAUUAUAUGUUACGGUUUCACUGUAAUUCUAAGAUGUUAUAUGUUCUAGUCCCACAAGAUUUUUUUUUGAUGACGUUGACCGAUGAACGAAAAAAAUGGAGUUAUAUUGUGGUGGGAUACAAGAAAUAAAAGAUAAUAAAUUGAAGAAGUGCUUGAUGAAUCGUUGUUAAUGAAGUGAGGUUAUGACAAAAUGGAAACACAGUAGGGAAGCUCAUUAAUCAACCGCGCUUGCAUCGUCAGCUACAAAACGGUGAACUAUGUUAAAUAUAAGAAAUUAAAGAACUACUUGUUGACGAGGAACUCUUGUAGGCUGAAUUCGUAUGGAUGUCAAAAUUGACAGCACCAUGUCAGAAUGUGGUUGGAUCCUCUAUAUUAAUCAUAUUAAAUAUAAAUUGUUAUUGUUCUAUUAUUACUAUGUUGUAUCUACAUUAGAAAAUUUAACUUGUCUCUUUUAAGCUAUGAAUCUAUUCUGGAAUUGAAACUUUGUAGCUAAUGCUAUAGCAGUUUUUAAGUUAUGAAUCUAUUCUGCUCUGCGCAUGAAA